rnacentral:rRNA from 1 species
UGGGGAAUCUUGCACAAUGGGGGAAACCCUGAUGCAGCGACGCCGCGUGAGCGAUGAAGCCCUUCGGGGUGUAAAGCUCUUUCGGCAGGGACGAUAAUGACGGUACCUGCAGAAGCAGCUGCGGCUAACUACGUGCCAGCAGCCGCGGUAAUACGUAGGCAGCAAGCGUUGUUCGGAGUUACUGGGCGUAAAGGGUGUGUAGGCGGCUUUUUAAGUUUGGUGUGAAAUCUCCCGGCUCAACUGGGAGGGUGCGCCGAAUACUGAAAGGCUAGAGUGCGGGAGAGGAAAGUGGAAUUCCUGGUGUAGCGGUGAAAUGCGUAGAUAUCAGGAGGAACACCGGUGGUGUAGACGGCUUUCUGGACCGUAACUGACGCUGAGACACGAAAGCGUGGGUAGCAAA